UACGUAGGGUGCGAGCGUUGUCCGGAAUUACUGGGCGUAAAGCGCGCGUAGGCGGCUUUGCAAGUCGGGUGUGAAAUCCCCAGGCUUAACCUGGGAACUGCAUUCGAGACUGCAUUGCUAGAGUAUGGGAGAGGGAAGUGGAAUUUCAGGUGUAGCGGUGAAAUGCGUAGAUAUCUGAAGGAACAUCAGUGGCGAAAGCGACUUCCUGGACCAAUACUGACGCUCAUGUGCGAAAGCGUGGGGAGCAAACAGG
rnacentral:rRNA from 1 species